CACUUCCUGCCAACAAGAACUUGGGUGCGCAGAAAUGACAUUCAUUUUUUUUUUUCCUACCUGGGAAAUUGCUAGAGAAAUACAAGAGAAUAGUUUCCAGAAGCUUCCUAAUGAGUGCUGCUGGCCCACCUCUAACGGACCACGAUUCCUUGGUUUUGAAGGAGCCUGGAGUUGCAGAGGAAGAGAGAAAACAGUGCAUCACUCAGCAAAGACCACAGAACGGCACUUCCUUUUAUGUUUAAUAUGUAUCAUCACUGACAAGUUACUUCAGAUCUCCUCGUGUGAGAGGCGUGUCAGAGAGGCAGGAGAACGUCAGGAUUCAGCUGGGGCACACAAGCUGGUCCCUGGAAACAGGACCCGGCCCCACUCAGACGC